rnacentral:tRNA from 1 species
GGCCAGGUGGCUCAGUUGGUUGGAGCAUCAUCCCAUACACCAAGUUUGCAGGUUCAAUUCCUGCUCAGGGCA